CGCAGGACCCACGGGGAACCCGCAGCUUGCCGGGAGGGACAGGGCAACGCACUCCAGAGCCACCCUCGGCUGCCCCCUGUCAAGCCAGCUGCGCCCAGGGGUCACGUUGUCCAGCAAGCCAGCUCCCGUCCCCUCCCCCGGGCCACUCUCUCUCGUCCCCCGCGCCUCGAUUCUUCACUAAAAGGCCUCCUUUCUGUAACACAGUGACCUGAGUAGACUUGUUUUCAGAGUUGUUUAAUUUAUUUGUCUGUCUGGAGAUUGACCCUUGGGUCUCACGCAUGCUUGGCAAUGACUCUAACGGAGAGCCAUGGCCAGCCCUCCAUCCUCUGGAAACCCCACCCCCACCCCCCCUGUCACUGCUGUUUAGGGUGCUUGACUCACAGCUCUCCACUGUCUGCCGCUGGGUGGGCAGUGGUUAGGAGCAUGCCUCCCAGGGGGAAGGUUUACCCUUGCGGUCUUCCUCAGCACAGCUCAAGCCCUCUUGCCAGGAACAAGGCUUUUGGUCCUUCCCCCCCCCCCCCCAAUGUGGCCUGGAACAAACAAAACCGCCACAGAUAAGCAGGAUAGAGCGAGCUGUGCAAAUGGGGGGGGCGGGGUCAGGAGCAAGGGGGCCCAACCACCCACCCAUCUCUGCCUAUGUGGGUCAACACUCAAACAAAUGCACAAGAAUCCUCUAGAAGGUGUCAGUCUACCCAGCCGACUCUCACGCACAAGGCAGGGCUGUCUCCAUUAAGGUAAGACUGCCAAGCCAGCCUGCCCUGGCCAAUGCUUAGACAGAGAACGUCACACUCCUGCUUGAUUGAACAGUACGGUGUUGAUUCCUCGGGAUACUGCCCACCUGGCUGAGCUCAGGGCCUGAGAGUCUGAGGAUGCAGAAAGCAGUGUGAAGAAAUAUCUGAAGGGUGGCCACAUUAGCUGACCGACUAUGCCUUUGUCCACGCCUCUUUCCAGUUGGCAUGUUGAGACAAGUGGCUGACCUGAUCCCUAAAUCACCCCAGCUGUACCCUCAAACUCUGCUAACAACCAUCACAUCCCCUCCCCCACCUUCCCCUGUGACAAACGGGUGACCUUCUCGUGUCCUGAGCUGCAGUGACCCUGGCCAGAGGGCAGUGAUGGAGACCAGCCUGGGAGGGAGGCCAGCAUGCAAUUCAAUUUGGCACCAUGCUGCUGCCCAUGACCCUGCAAGAUGCUAGGGACACCUGGCCACCGUCUGGAGGUGGCAGAAGGGACGAGAUGCCCCAGGCUGAUCCAAGGAAAGGCUGUCCCUCCUCAGCAAGGGGACUGAGCUGUUCUCCCCCCUCCCUCCCUCUCUCCCUUCUUUCUUCCCUUCCUGCUUCUGGGAUAGUACUUUGAGAACUUUAAACUACAACUCCCAGGAUCCUUUGCAGAACAGGCUCUCAAGAUUAAGCAGAUUAUACAGUUUGUGGGUUGGUUUAGUGAGCUCAGUUUAGGCCCCAAGACCUCAACUACAAGGACAAGUGUCUGCUGGUCCGUCAUCCUCAACUCCUGACACACCUUGUUGUUGCUAACAAAGAACUGGACCCUGCACCAGCUCCAGAGGGAAAGCCAGAAGUUCCCAGGGCUUGACUUUCUCCUGGCCUCCUCCUGCUAGCCAGGGUCUGAGGGGGUGGCACACUGGGGCCGGGCCGAUCUGCGUCUUCUGUGGUGCCACGGGGUGAGCUGCUCCACACAGAUCAAGAGGAGGGCUCGUCCAAGAUCCCACAUGCCUUCUCCUUCCUCCUAAAUCCCCUGAGAGCAGUUCUGAGACAGUUCCCGGAUCCUAUCCCCUCUGAAUGGUUUUUCUUUUCUCUUCUUUUGGUUUUUCGAGACAGGGUUUCUCUGUGUAGUCCUGGCUGUCCUGGAUCUCGCUCUGUAGCCCAGGCUGGCCUUGAACUCACA